rnacentral:rRNA from 1 species
UGAGUAACACGUAUCCAACCUGCCGUCUACUCUUGGACAGCCUUCUGAAAGGAAGAUUAAUACAAGAUGGCAUCAUGAGUCCACAUGUUCACAUGAUUAAAGGUAUUCCGGUAGACGAUGGGGAUGCGUUCCAUUAGAUAGUAGGCGGGGUAACGGCCCACCUAGUCAACGAUGGAUAGGGGUUCUGAGAGGAAGGUCCCCCACAUUGGAACUGAGACACGGCCCAA